AAGCAAGCACAGGUGAAGGUUAAUUAAUAAUGUGUUUUUAUGUGAUGACCACUUUAUCCCUGUUGUGUUUAGAAAACCACAAUAUAAAUAUGUAGAGCAGAUGUCGACAAAUCCUAAAUAAACUGUGAAUGAUCGAGAACGAUCUGGACGCCCGAUUAAGCACCGACCUUCUUCAAAACAAAGUGAAAAGUUUGCAAAUUUUCUAACUGUGCAUGAUAUACUAGAAGAGAUUCUAGAAGAACCCAGACCGAAAAGAGAGUGAGAAAAACCCAGACAGAAGAGAUGGUCUACAAACCCAGACAGAAGAGAAAGUGAGAGAGAAAAGAAGAGAGCAGAAGAAACAGGGCGGAAGAAAGUGAAAGAGAAAAGAGAGCAAACGCCCGAUUCAGAUCCAAGCAGCCAAACUCAGAGCAAAAAUUUUGUAUGUUUGUUCCCGGCAAAUUUCGUUUUUUACUCCAGGUGCUCUUUCUUACUUUGGCAUUUCAGGCUAAUUCAAUUAAGCAGAGAAAGACUAUCGAUUUCCUCUAUCCAGUGUUUUCAGUAUUAUCCUUUAUACUUCAACUUUAAGCUUUUCCGCGGCAAAAAGCUACAUCUCCCAAUCUCUGUGUUGGGUUUUUGUUUGAAUUCGUUUUUCUUGAUUUCGAUUGCAGUGGUAGCAGGUUGUUCUGUGGUUCGUUUUCCAGUCCAGUACCCCUCAGUUUAAGGGAAUUGGUGAACUAAAGAAGUUAGCUGAAUUGGGCAAGAGUUUAAGGGAAGAAAAUUUUGGAUAUCCUUGGUUGUUCUCACCUGCCUUUACUCAUUUGGUAUGUCUCAUCUUUUUUUUUUCCCUCUGCAUUUGUACUGUUGUGGGUUUGGUUUUGAUUUUCUUUUCUGUUUGUUUUAAUUUGAUUAGGGUUUGGUACGUUCUACUGUAUAUGUGUUUUCAGAUUGAGCUGGGACUCU
rnacentral:lncRNA from 1 species